rnacentral:rRNA from 1 species
UGGGGAAUAUUGGACAAUGGGCGAAAGCCUGAUCCAGCCAUGCCGCGUGUGUGAAGAAGGUCUUCGGAUUGUAAAGCACUUUAAGUUGGGAGGAAGGGCAGUAACCUAAUACGUUGCUGUCUUGACGUUACCGACAGAAUAAGCACCGGCUAACUCUGUGCCAGCAGCCGCGGUAAUACAGAGGGUGCAAGCGUUAAUCGGAAUUACUGGGCGUAAAGCGCGCGUAGGUGGUUUGUUAAGUUGGAUGUGAAAUCCCCGGGCUCAACCUGGGAACUGCAUUCAAAACUGACUGACUAGAGUAUGGUAGAGGGUGGUGGAAUUUCCUGUGUAGCGGUGAAAUGCGUAGAUAUAGGAAGGAACACCAGUGGCGAAGGCGACCACCUGGACUGAUACUGACACUGAGGUGCGAAAGCGUGGGGAGCAAACAGGAUUAGAUACCCCUGUAGUCCCUGAGCGGGCUGGCAAGGCGCAU